CAUUGUGAAGCUUUAAGCGUUAACCUUUUAAGUUAAAGUCAGGGAUCGUAAAUCUCCACAAUGA
rnacentral:tRNA from 1 species